rnacentral:rRNA from 1 species
ACUCAAAUGAAUUGACGGGGACCCGCACAAGCAGUGGAUGAUGUGGAUUAAUUCGAUGCAACGCGAAAAACCUUACCUACCUUUGACAUGACUAAGAUCCUGCUGAGAAGUGGGAGUGCUCGGAAGAGAAUUAGUGCACAGGUGCUGCAUGGCUGUCGUCAGCUCGUGUCGUGAGAUGUUGGGUUAAGUCCUGCAACGAGCGCAACCCCUGUCUUUAAUUGCUACUGAGUUUGCAGUUACCUUAAAGAGACUGCCAGCGACAAGUUGGAGGAAGGUGGGGAUGACGUCAAGUCCUCAUGGCCUUUAUGGGUGGGGCUUCACACAUCAUACAAUGGUUGGACCAAAGAGUUGCCAACUUGCAAAAGGGAGCCAAUCUCACAAAGCCAGCCUCAGUUCGGAUUGUACUCUGAAACUCGAGUGCAUGAAGUUGGAAUUGCUAGUAAUCGUGGAUCAGCAUGCCACGGUGAAUACGUUCUCGGGUCUUGCACACACCGCCCGU